UAGGGAAACUUACGCUAAUACCGCAUACGACCUUAGGGUGAAAGCGGAGGACCUUCGGGCUUCGCGCGGAUAGAUGAGCCGAUGUCGGAUUAGCUAGUUGGCGGGGUAAAGGCCCACCAAGGCGACGAUCCGUAGCUGGUCUGAGAGGAUGAUCAGCCACACUGGAACUGAGACACGGUCCAGACUCCUACGGGAGGCAGCAGUGGGGAAUAUUGGACAAUGGGCGCAAGCCUGAUCCAGCCAUGCCGCGUGGGUGAAGAAGGCCUUCGGGUUGUAAAGCCCUUUUGUUGGGAAAGAAAAGCAGCCGGUUAAUACCCGGUUGUUCUGACGGUACCCAAAGAAUAAGCACCGGCUAACUUCGUGCCAGCAGCCGCGGUAAUACGAAGGGUGCAAGCGUUACUCGGAAUUACUGGGCGUAAAGCGUGCGUAGGUGGUUGUUUAAGUCCGUUGUGAAAGCCCUGGGCUCAACCUGGGAAUUGCAGUGGAUACUGGGCAACUAGAGUGUGG
rnacentral:rRNA from 1 species